rnacentral:rRNA from 1 species
AGCGAACGCUGGCGGCGUGCCUAACACAUGCAAGUCGAGCGCGGGCAUUUUCGGGGGGUAACCCCGGGACUGUGCUGAGCGGCGGACGAGUGAGUAAUACGUGGACAACCUGCCUUAAAGCUUGGGAUAACUCCGGGAAACUGGAGCUAAUACCGGAUAAGACCACGGUGUCUAUGGAUGCUGAGGUAAAAGGCGGCCAGGAAACUGGCUGUUGCUUAAAGAUGGGUCCACGUCCCANCAGGUAGUUGGUGAGGUAAAGGCUCACCAAGCCAAA